AAGGCCAGAGCUAGCUGCAAGAGAAUCUGAGAAAGUAAUCUUAAAUACAGCCUUAGUAAUAUACAGCCUUAGUAAUAAACCUGGGAGUUGUAUUAUUAAAGAAGAAUGGAUACUGUGGUAAGCAGCUAGCAGUUUCUGCCAUAGUCUGCCCUUUGGCUACCCAAAAAUUCAUAUGCUCCUUUCUUCCCAUACAUUGAAUAAUCUCCUUCCAUCCCCAGGGGAGACAACCCCAAAGCCUCAUGCAGAUCAAGACCCAGGAUCAUCAGGCAAUGUGCAGUCCUCUCCUUGGGCUUCAGAUGUAGCUCCAUAUGGUUGUAGACAUAAAAACUGAAAGACUUCACCCCAUACCCAAUAUACCAGGUGAAAUAGGAACAGGAUAACUGCAAUAAAGACUCCCAUUCAGAAGAGGGAAGCAUGGGAAACAUAUCAGCCACCAGUACACAGCUACAAUCAAAUGCCAAUGGGCUGGAGGACUGAAGACCCUGUUCCAGGCAGUGGAGUAAAUUUCUUGGUUAGCCCGUCUGGCACCCCUAUUCAGCUCUCUGAGAAGAAUUCUUUUGUUAGUGUCUGUGUCUCUGAGCUUUUCCUUUUGGGAGGUUCUUCCUGGUUUAUUAUUCCCCCUGGUCACCCUUGAAAUGGGCAUUGGCGAGUGGGCCCCCCUGGGAGCUUCAGAAUGUUAGCUCCCUGGGACUUCAACUAGAAGAUGGAUGAUUAGGAUGCACCUGCUUCCUCUCUACCUCCUCCCCAAUAUCCUCCUGACCAGAGAUCAGGGCUUUCUCCUCUGGUGUCUCCUUUAGGUAAAACUCUACGACCAAUUCUGUCAGGCUUGCUUCUUGAUAUCUAAGAGGAAGUUAAAAGUAUCCAGAAUAUCCUUAACAAAGACUGUCUUUCAAGACUAUUGUCCGGCUGGAAAAUCUUAUUUUGGAUGUCAUAAGCUAAAUAUUACUCGUCUCUUUCUCUGCAUUUUUUUCUUCGAUAAUCCUAAUUCCACUUCCAAGGCAAGCAGAUGAUGGUACUGAAGAGGAAGAAGAUCACAGGCACAGAGAUGCAAAAGAGAAAUGCAAGUAAUCCCAUUUUUCAAAACAGGAUCCUACUUACAUCAUUAAAGACUUCCUAUUUUGCUUAGGGUUUUGAAUUAAAGGUCACUGUCUUGGGGAGGAUUUCCCUGCCCCAUGGCCUCCCUCAGAGCACCUGGCAUGCCUAAUAGUUAAACCCA